AGAAUGGCUCUCGCUCACUGCGCGGUGCCAGCAUGUGUCAUGUCCCGGCUGUGUUUCUGGGGCCUAUGGCCCCUGCUCACGUGGCAACUAUUGUGGCUACUAGUCAAGGAGGCUCAGCCUCUGGAGUGGGUCAAGGAUCUGCUCCAGCUGACCUCUAACCCCCGGGGGCCGCCUGAGCCCUGGUCUUCCGCUCCUCCCAUCUCCCAUGGGAAUCUCCCCAUGCCCCUAUUGCCCCAGCAGAUCCGGGGGACUUUGAUUACCUGGGGCCCUCUGCUUCCUCGCAGAUGUCAGCCCCACCCCAGGAAUCAACUGAAAAUUUGGUUCCAUUCCUGGACACGGAUUCAGCUGGAGAGCUGCCCCUAGGGCCAGGGCAGUUCUCAGUUGCACACCAGGAUUUCAAUGACAAGCUGACUCUGCAAGAAAGGCUCCCAGAGGUGGUUCCAAUGCUGGACAGGGAUCAGAACCAGACCCUAGUUCAGCCUCCUCGCCUCAAAAGAACCUGAAGAAAGAUCUAGCUCAGCAUUGGAGCAUUGCUGAUAUUGUUGGAAUUCCACAGCAAUUAUCCAAACCAC
rnacentral:lncRNA from 1 species